CGUUCUGUUGCCGAAUUGGCAUCGCCGAUCACAGGCGAAGGUGCGGGUUCGAGUCCCGCUGGAACGU
rfam:Operophtera brumata OBRT01_Sc00976, whole genome shotgun sequence.